GCACUUGUAACAAGCUGCAUCUGAGUGUCUUCCGCCAUAGAGCAGCAAGGGCACGGCUCACAUUUGCUUAUUGAGUUAUAGGGCACUGGUGCAAGUGCAUAAUGGAAUUUUCAUUGACUUGAUUUAUUCUAGGUAUGAUGUGUCAUGAAGAAAGGGGUCAUGAGACAAAGUCACUAACAAGCAACAAAUCUGGUUUGUUCCCAAGGCUCGAGCUAUAUGAUGAAGAGCCUGCCCGGAGACCAGCGCAGAAGAGCAUGGGAAUCACCGCAGUCAGCAAAUGCACAUAAAUCAGGAGUAUAUCAAAAACAAUUUGAUUAUUUUUUCUUUGAUCCAGCUUUGACUUUUCUUCUCUCAGUGGAAUGAUGGAUAGAAACAACUGUGGAUUUCAGAUCUGAAGCAAAAGUGGAGCUUGAUUUUCUCUUGUCUCUCAAAGAUGAAGUCUUUACUUACUAGUACUGUUUAUCUGAACUGUUAUUUCACUUUUUUCCUAUGACUCUUUCUUUUAUUAUGCAAGUGGAUGAAAUAUAUAUACAAAUAUGUAAUUUCUUCAAAAAUAUCUUCUUUAGACAUUUUUGACAUUUUUCUUUAGAAAUUUAUAAGACAGUUAAAAAGUGUUUGUGUGGCUGCUUGUGUGUAUGUUAGUGUCUGUCUGAAGGGGAACAUAAUGUCAGUGACUCUUUGGGAACAGUUUCUGUCGUGAGGACACAGCUGUAACUCUCUGGUCUUAAGACUGGAACGAUGGAAGUGUUAAAGCAGCAGUAGAGUGCACAAAAGAAAAGAGUGGACAAAUUCAAUACUGAUUCAUUUAAUAUUACACUUAGUGUAGGCUUCUGUGUAAUUUCCUGUUAAAUAUGUUUCCUGUUUUUUUUUCUGACACUGAAAAAUGAAUCCUGUUUAAUGUCUGUAUUUCCUGGUACUUAAAUAAACAAAUGGACAGUCUCUGACUUUCGCACAGUGUUCUAUGACAAACAUGCGCACUAAAAUCUGGAUUUUGGUGUUUACUAUGUGGUUUGUGUUUGUGUAUGUGCAAAUGUUUGUCUUAUGAGUUUUUGUCUUAUGAGUGUUUUGAGGUGAAUAAAGUGUUCUGGUAAGAUUUGA